rnacentral:rRNA from 1 species
AUUGAACGCUGGCGGCAUGCCUUACACAUGCAAGUCGAACGGCAGCACGGGUGCUUGCACCUGGUGGCGAGUGGCGAACGGGUGAGUAAUACAUCGGAACAUGUCCUGUAGUGGGGGAUAGCCCGGCGAAAGCCGGAUUAAUACCGCAUACGAUCUACGGAUGAAAGCGGGGGACCUUCGGGCCUCGCGCUAUAGGGUUGGCCGAUGGCUGAUUAGCUAGUUGGUGGGGUAAAGGCCUACCAAGGCGACGAUCAGUAGCUGGUCUGAGAGGACGACCAGCCACACUGGGACUGAGACACGGCCCAGACUCCUACGGGAGUCAGCAGUGGGGAAUUUUGGACAAUGGGCGAAAGCCUGAUCCAGCAAUGCCGCGUGUGUGAAGAAGGCCUUCGGGUUGUAAAGCACUUUUGUCCGGAAAGAAAUCCUUGGCUCUAAUACAGUCGGGGGAUGACGGUACCGGAAGAAUAAGCACCGGCUAACUACGUG